rnacentral:pre_miRNA from 1 species
UAUAUACUCCCUCCGUCCGAAAAUACUUGUCACCAAAAUGGAUAAAAGGGGAUGUAUCUAGAUGUAUUUUAGUUCUAGAUACAUCUCUUUUAUCCAUUUUGAUGACAAGUAUUUUCGGACGGAGGGAGUAUUUG